rnacentral:lncRNA from 13 species
UUCCAAUUCACAAGUAGGACUAACCUUUGGAACUGUGGAAAUAUCUGAACAAGUGCUCAGAAAAUGACUUUACUGUUCGUUAAUAAUUGAUCAUUGUUGACCGAAUCAAUCGUUUUCUUUCAAGUUGAAAGAGGGUGUUUUCUGGCUUCUUCCAUGUUUAUGGACUAGUUCUAUUCCAAAAAGAGAAAUUUUUUCCUCAUGAACUGGGGAUGAACUAUGAUAGUUCUACCUAAAGUGCAUGAAAAACAUUUAGCUGUCACCAGUAACGAUGUCAAAGGAUGUGCUUUCUCCACCCACCCCAGCUUCACAUCGCCAUAAACACAUGGCUUUUUAUGGACCCAAUAAAAUACAGACCAACUUGAAGAAAUCACAGAAGACAGGAGACUCAACCCAAUAUCCAUCCUGUGACAACUGGACCUUCACAUAAAUAGAUUAAUGGUACCAGCUUGAGGAGAGUCCAUAGCUGUGGAACACUCUUCACAGAAAGACCCUGGCUUAGAACUGCUUAUGAGACACACUCAGAAUCAAAGGCAUUGUUAUGAGGCCCCUGUCCCUGAAGGAUGUUCUGUAACCCAUGCAGAACUCUGUGGUACAAAAUAGAAAUGUACAAACAAAAAUGAUUCAUGAGAAAAAUUAUCUCUACCCAUUGAGGAAAUAAUCUCUUAAAUGAUAAAAAUUUAAACAGUUUUGAUAAAGUCCAAUUUAUCUAUUUUUUUCUUUCUUGGCUCAUGGUUUCCAUCUUUUACCUAUAAAAUAUUUGCCCCCUAAGUAAAAACAAAAUGCUCCAGAGAGACUUCAUCAAUUCAGUCCUAACAUCACAUGUCAAAAAAGCGAAUAUGGGACCUGUGAAACUGUACUCCGUGUUUUGGUACUAUUCCUGAUUUGAUUGAUCAUAUUCUUGAAUUAUUAAUUAAGCUUGAUAUUGGAUUAGAUUUCUGAUCAACAUGAGUCCGAAUCGACACACAAUACUUUGUGCUAAGUGUAAAAUUUCUGCCAAAUGAUUUUUCAGCUUGUAGAGAUGUUAGUAUAAAGUUAAAUCAACUUUGCAUUGCUGAGAAAAAAACUAUACUUGGUCAUAGCAUAUUAAAACUUUUAUAUAUUAUUGGGUUUAAUCCGUUAAUAUUUUGUUAUGGAUUUUUUGCGAGUAUUUUUUUUUAAUUAUAGUUUUCUUUUUAUUGUUAUACUUUAAGUUCUGGGGUACAUGCACAGAACUUGCAGGUUUGUUACAAAGGUAUACACAUGUCAUAAUGGUUUGCUGCAUCCAUCUCCCCAUCAUCUACAUUAGGUGUUUCUCAUAAUGUUAGCCCUCCCUAAUCCCCCAACCCCCUGCUAUACUUCCCAUAGCACCCCUGGUGUGUGAUGUUCACCUCCCUG